rnacentral:rRNA from 1 species
UACGGAGGGUGCGAGCGUUGUCCGGAAUCAUUGGGCGUAAAGGGCGCGUAGGCGGUUGGGGAAGUCCGUGGUGAAAGCUCGUGGCUCAACUACGAGUCGGCCAUGGAUACUCCUUGACUUGAGCACUGUAGAGGCAGAUGGAAUUCCGGGUGUAGCGGUGGAAUGCGUAGAGAUCCGGAAGAACACCGGUGGCGAAGGCGGUCUGCUGGGCAGUAGCUGACGCUGAGGCGCGACAGCGUGGGGAGCAAACAGG